AUCUGGGUGGUGUAGUUGGUUAUCAUGCUAGUCUCACACACUAGAGGUCUUUGGUUCAAACUCGGGCUCAGACA